CACGUACUGUGCGAACGUUAUCCGGAAUCAUUGGGUUUAAAGGGUCCGUAGGCGGCCUUAUAAGUCAGUGGUGAAAUCUCCUAGCUCAACUAGGAAACUGCCAUUGAUACUGUAGGGCUUGAAUUAUUAGGAAGUAACUAGAAUAUGUAGUGUAGCGGUGAAAUGCUUAGAUAUUACAUGGAAUACCAAUUGCGAAGGCAGGUUACUACUAGUUAGUUGACGCUGAGGGACGAAAGCGUGGGUAGCGAACAGG
rnacentral:rRNA from 1 species